rnacentral:lncRNA from 1 species
CAAUGCUACACCUCUCCGUUCUCUGUCCAUCUCUCCAAUCGAAGCCAACUCUUCUCCACUACAGCCUCUUGGUUCUCUGAAAGCCUUCUCUCUCUGUAAAACCCCAAGGAAUAAAGCUGCUGUGAAACCGCCAUCUCACACCAUAACACCUGUUUCCACAACCUCAAGAGGCUCUAAACAGAUUCCACCUGCUGCACAGGUUGAGCUGAGUCCAGUCCACUCAUUCCUUACCCUGGAGGAUUCCACCCAGCCCUCCCCACGCAUCCCUCCAGACCUCCAGGAGGAGCAGAGAGGUGUCAUGAACAAAACCAGCCCAACAUCAUUUGAAAGGAGGUCUGUCAUCUCUGUGACAAUGAGCCAAUCCUCUCACAUAUCUGUGAGCAACAUGGCCCUGAUGUGCACUGAGCUAGAGGUAUAGCUUUAACAGUUUAUUUCAGAGCACAGUUACACUUUUCAUAGUACUACAUUUCAGUAACACACCACUUAAUUCUUGUACGACUUAUAGAAAACACCAGCAAGCCAGAAAGGAAGUAAGGUUGAGAGACUAGAAUUUAAGUCAGGUGAAGAGAUUUUUUAAUUAUGUUGUAUUUUUUUAUUUUAUUUGUUAGUAUACAAAAAUAAGCAUAUUUUUUGUGCCAAUUGCCAAUCAGGUCCAACAGCCAUCCACAAGCAUCUCACCCUGAGCCACUCCGCUAGUCUUUCAGAGAGAGAUGAGGACAGUGGGGAGGACAAAGAGAAUAAGGCUCCUUCUCCCUCGCAGCUAGCUCUGAAAAUGAAGCCUAGAACGCUGUUUG